AACGCCCGCUUUCUUCAUUCCUAACACAUGCAAGUCGAACGAGACCUUCGGGUCUAGUGGCGCACGGGUGCGUAACGCGUGGGAACCUGCCCUUAGGUUCGGAAUAACUCCCCGAAAGGGGUGCUAAUACCGGAUAAUGUCUUCGGACCAAAGAUUUAUCGCCUUUGGAUGGGCCCGCGUUGGAUUAGCUAGUUGGUAGGGUAAAAGCCUACCAAGGCGACGAUCCAUAGCUGGUCUGAGAGGAUGAUCAGCCACACUGGGACUGAGACACGGCCCAGACUCCUACGGGAGGCAGCGGUGGGGAAUAUUGGACAAUGGGCGAAAGCCUGAUCCAGCAAUGCCGCGUGAGUGAUGAAGGCCUUAGGGUUGUAAAGCUCUUUUACCCGGGAUGAUAAUGACAGUACCGGGAGAAUAAGCGCCGGCUAACUCCGUG
rnacentral:rRNA from 1 species